rnacentral:rRNA from 1 species
AGCAGUAAGGAAUAUUGCGCAAUGGGCGACAGCCUGACGCAGCGACGCCGCGUGGGGGAUGAAGGUCUUCGGAUUGUAAACCCCUUUCGGCAGGGAAGAUGGAACGGGCAACCGUUCGGACGGUACCUGCAGAAGCAGCCACGGCUAACUUCGUGCCAGCAGCCGCGGUAAUACGAAGGUGGCAAGCGUUGUUCGGAUUUACUGGGCGUACAGGGAGCGUAGGCGGUUGGGUAAGCCCUCCGUGAAAUCUCCGGGCCUAACCUAUGAAAGUGCGGAGGGGACUGCUUGGCUAGAGGAUGGGAGAGGAGCGCGGAAUUCCCGGUGUAGCGGUGAAAUGCGUAGAGAUCGGGAGGAAGGCCGGUGGCGAAGGCGGCGCUCUGGAACAUUUCUGACGCUGAGGCUCGAAAGCG